rnacentral:rRNA from 1 species
GACGAACGCUGGCGGUGUGCUUAACACAUGCAAGUGGUGCGACGAACCAGAGCUUGCUCUGGGGCAAAGCCGCGAACGGGUGAGUAACACGUGGGUAAUCUACCCCGAUGACCGGGACAACCCGAGGAAACUCGGGCUAAUACCGGAUGUGGUGCGGAGACAUAAGUCUCUUCACUAAAGGUAGCUUCGGCUUCCGCAUUGGGAGGGGCCCGCGGCCCAUUAGCUUGUUGGUGGGGUCAAGGCCUACCAAGGCAACGAUGGGUAGCUGGUCUGAGGGGACGAUCAGCCACACUGGGACUGAGACACGGCCCAGACUCCUACGGGAGGCAGCAGUGGGGAAUCUUGCGCAAUGCGCGAAAGCGUGACGCAGCAACACCGCGUGAGGGAAGAAGGCCUUAGGGUUGUAAACCUCUUUCAGAUGGGACGAAGGUUCUCCGGUGAAUAGCCGAGAGGAUUGACGGUACCGUCAGAAGAAGCUCCGGCUAACUACGUG